rnacentral:rRNA from 1 species
UACGUAGGGUGCAAGCGUUAAUCGGAAUUACUGGGCGUAAAGCGUGCGCAGGCGGUAAUGUAAGACAGAUGUGAAAUCCCCGGGCUCAACCUGGGACCUGCAUUUGUGACUGCAUCGCUAGAGUACGGUAGAGGGGGAUGGAAUUCCGCGUGUAGCAGUGAAAUGCGUAGAUAUGCGGAGGAACACCGAUGGCGAAGGCAAUCCCCUGGACCUGUACUGACGCUCAUGCACGAAAGCGUGGGGAGCAAACAGG